rnacentral:rRNA from 1 species
UAGUUGGAUAUCUGCUGGAAGCAAUCAGUCCGCCCUUUUAGUGAGGGUGUGUACUUGAUGAAUUCUGGCAUGAUCAUCUUCCCACUAAUAAUAUUAUUAUAUAAGGAUAAUUCCUAAUAUGGUAAUAAUAAUGUUGGUAAGACAAACAGUAGUUACUUUGAGAAAAUUACAGUGUUUGAAGCAGGGGUUGUUGCCUUGAAUACUGCAGCAUGGAAUAACAAUAUAGGAUUUCGGUUCUAUUUUGUUGGUUUCUAGGACUGAAAUAAUGAUUAAUAGGGACAGUUGGGGGCAUUCGUAUUUAACUGUCAGAGGUGAAAUUCUUAGAUUUGUUAAAGACGAACUACUGCGAAAGCAUUUGCCGAAAGAUGUUUUCAUUAAUCAAGAACGAAAGUUAGGGGCUCGAAGACGAUCAGAUACCGUC